GCGAUUUGUCUUCUUGUCUCAAUAAGUGUAAGAAGUGGGUAGAGGAUGGAAAGGGAGAAGAAAGGAUUAAAGUUAAGCCUGAAUGUUUCAUUCUCCACCUUAACAUGACCGCAUCUACUAAUAGCCAAUAAAAUGAAUUGGCCUCUCUACUGGGCUGCUUGACCUUCCUCAUGACAUGGCAGUUGGUUUUUCCCAGAGCAGACAGGAACAACCAUGAUUCAAUAUGUGAGUAGGCUAUACAGGAGACAGGAACCAUUGGGAGCCAUUUUGAACACUCUCUACUACAGGAUCAAAAGCAAAUAAUUACAAAACAGUACAUCAAUGCAACAAUGGCAUUAUAUGUAAGCAUUAAUAUAGAAUUUUGGAGGGAAAUCACGAGAAAACUGAAGACAUCUGUCCACCAAGAAAAGCACAAAAGCUAUAAACUGAAGAUAGAUAUAUUUUCAACUAACUGCAGUCU